GACAGCAGCCGCCGCGGUAAUGCGGAGGGGGCUAGCGUUGUUCGGAAUUACUGGGCGUAAAGCGCACGUGGGCGGCUUGGUAAGUUAGAGGUGAAAGCCCGGAGCUCAACUCCGGAAUUGCCUUUAAGACUGCCGAGCUAGUAGGUGAGAGAGGUAAGUGGAAUUCCGAGUGUAGAGGUGAAAUUCGUAGAUAUUCGGAAGAACACCAGUGGCGAAGGCGGCUUACUGGCUCAUUCUAGACGCUGAGGCGCGAAAACGUGGGGAGCAAACAGGAUUAGAUACCCCCGUAGUCCCUGUCUCUUAUAC
rnacentral:rRNA from 1 species